UAAGAAGGGUGGGACCCUCCCAGAGAUAAGGGUUUGGGGCAUGGGAUUCUCACGGGAACGGGGCAGUUGCAUCCUGGUAGGAAAUGGAGAAGCGAAGGACUGAAAAUAUCGGAUGCCCACCCAGAUGGGUCUCACAUUUCCUGCAGCAACGGGACACGGAGCAUCGAGGGUCCCAUGACCUCUCCUGGCAGCCCUGCCAUGGACCACGCUGGGGCUGGCCCUGCAGCCUCUAGGCGAGUCCCCAGGCCAGGAGUGUUGCGAGAGGGGCAGUGACCCCCACUGGGUGCCACAGCAGGGCGCAGUGCAAGCGGCACCGGGGUCCCCACUCAGCGGCCCCCGCCCUUCACGGAGGGGUCCGGUCCUCUGUGAGGAGGAAGCCCAGCGGCUGUGGCGGCAGGGGCGGCCCGCCCUCACGGGCCCCAGUGAGCGCCACCUACGGCGGGGGCAGUCACUGCCCAUCGCUUGGGGGGCCGCCCUGAGGGCCAUCGGCUCCCUCCCUCCUCGGGGCGGAUGGGGAAACUCCCCGCACUUUCCGCGGGGCCCCCACGCCGGGGCUCUCCCGACCCCGCUCGGCUGUGGCAGGCGGUGGCCCCACCCCCCUCACGGGGCCCCAGCCGCUCCCAGAGCCCGCGGGCAGCCCCGGUUGCGCUAAUAAACGGGCGGAGGGAGGGGGACGUUCUACGCAGUGACGUUCCCCCCGGCUGCGGGCCGGGCUGGGGGAAGCCCCGCCCCUGGCACGGGGUGGGCGGAGCCUCCUACCUCAGCCUCACCGCCCGACUCGGGCGCCAUUUUGGGAAGCUCUUUGUGUGGCGGGGCUGCGAGAGACACUCGAUACUUGCCCGGGCAGCGUAGGGCGCAGGGCCUCGGCCGCUGUGACUGGCCCUUCCCUGGGAGCGGGCGGUGCAACCGGGCCUGAGCGAUGGGGGAGGAUACAGAGAUGCCAGUGGAUCAGGCUGACUCUGCUAUUGAAAGUGGUGACAUGACAGAAACCAAAAGCAAGGGACCAAGAGGUCGGGGCAGAGGAAGAGGUGGCAGAGAUUUUGGAAACGAGGGACAGCUUUCAUAUGUCAGAGGGAAAAUGCGAGGCAAAACAAUUAAUGGCAUUGGGCCCAUGAGAUGUGGGAUAGGAAGAAUGUAUCCAUAUCCUGACACCCGAGGCCAAAGAGGAGGCAGAGGGAGGCCACCUUUUCUACCACCCUCACCCAUGGGAGGAAUGAUGAGAGAUCCUUUCUCACUUCCAGCACCAAGACAUGGACUUCCUCCUCCACCAUCACUACCAGGACCAAUGGGCUUCAGAGGCAGGCCACCUCACCCCAGAGCCAGAGGGAUGCUGCGGAUGCCAAGAGGUCGUUUCCCUCCACCAAGAGGCUUUCCCAAUGGACCUGGUGUACCAUCCCCUCCGCCACCUGGACGGGGCCAGAGAUGGCUUGGACCGCCAGGUGGCAGACACUAUUAAAGAGGCUUAUUCUUUAAAUUGUAUAGCAGGGCGCUUUCUUGUUACCUUAAAACCAUUUGAAAUGGCUGGACUAAGAACUGCCUAUAAAACAUUAAAGAUGGCAAAGAAUAUUAAUUGAACUUAGACAGCUAAUAUUUUCCAGAAGCCCUCAUGCACCAGUUGGCAAAAGCCAUAUAUUAAAAAAAGUCUGUGACUCCUUGGACUUUUUUCAAGCAUAUCCUUUUUAAGCCUAGGCUUUAUGGACACUGACUCCUGCACACUAAAUGUAAAAGGAAAAACACAUCUGUUACAAUAGUUUGAGUCUUCAUUUAAUAUACAGAACUCUGAUUGCUUUUGACAAUUGUGUGCAGCUUGUUUUAGUGUAGAACAUGAAUUUGUUUUAAUGCUAUGAUUUUGUGUGUAUAAACAUGAACUUUUUUUAAGGGUUUGAAAUCACUUUCAAAUUUUAUAACAGUAAAUGCAGCCAACUGCUUAAUAUUUGGGAAGAGUAUACUGUACUACAUUUUGAAGUGUUACCUGUAGAGCCCUGCAAAUCCGUGGGAAUCUGCUUUCUAUCCAUUGAUAUCUACAGACCAGGGGUCUGCAGCACGCACUCACUGGAAUGGAGAGGCUGUCAUCCAGCCUGCAGGCUCCAGCUCUGCUCUCUAAAUCACGCAGCAGCGAGCUGGGCAUUCUGGGAGUUGUAGUCUCCAGCUUGCUCAGAUGGAGGAGGUAAAGACAACUCCUAGAAGGGAGUAAGCCAAGCACCAUUUUGAAGGUGUGGUUGUUCUUUAAAUGAGCAGGCGGCAAUAGCUAUGUGCAUUAGAGCCUCUGCAACUGUGUAGAGCUGUCUGAGCCCCCCACGGGGAGGGCGGUGCUGCAUAGAAGGGCCCAGAAUUGUAGCCUCCGUGCCAGGAGCAAGGAAAGAGGGUAAGAUAGUCACCCUUUGAGGCCAAUUGGAGAUGGUAUACAGGCCUUUCGGAGAGCAUACGACAAGCCUUAUCUCAGCAUAUGUCAAAUAAUAGUUCCAGAGUCAGUUACUAUAAUGUCCUUCGUUUGUUCUAGUAGUAAUUUCUAAAUUUAGAAACUGCUUCACUUUUUUUUGCUAUUGAGACCUGUAUUUUGAACUCUUGGAAUUUUUGCUAUGGGGAGACUGAACAGCAGAGCUGAAAUUCAAGCUGGAAGUUCUGUUGAGUUCAAGGAGCAAAAGACUGCAGAUGGACUAUCACCAUUUGAAGGAGCAUCUAGUCAAAAUUAUAAGUAUCCUAAAGAACUCUCUGCACUGGUUGCGAUAAACUCAUUCAGUAAUGAGGUCACCCUUUUGUAGGGCAGGGAUUAUGAACUACUGUAUAGAAAGGGAAGAUCCCUGUGCACAACAAGGGUGGUGGGACCAAUCUUGGAUGCCACUCCAUCUCCCGUAUGGCCCUCCAAUGGCCCUACUGGGAUCCCUGGGCUUCCUGUUGGCAGCAAUUUGCCAGACCACCAGCUCUGUCAUAUCAAGAGGUGAGAGUUCUACAGUCCUCUCCCCAGCCAACCCACCUGAAUGAUGAGGCAUUUGAGGAGCAGGAAGUUAGGGCUGAUAAUGAGGCCACCCCCAAACCCUUUGUCUCCAGAUGAGGUGGUCAUGCCUCCACUGCUGUCCACAGUCAACAAUUUCCAGCAGUUCCAGGACCUUAUAAAGAGAGUCACGGACGCUUUCUGAGUACCACUCUAAGAGGUCAAAGAUUCUCAACACAAACUGCUGGACAUUUUGCAAUCAGCAACACCCACUGGAGUUGUCUUAUCCAUUAAUGAGGUGCUCCAGGACCCAGCAGACUCUUUAGCAAACACCUGCUACUGUUCCACCAAUUUGAAAAUGGAUAGAUAGGAAAUAUUAUUGUUCCAUUCUCCUCCCCUCUCACCCCCUCAGGUCUCAGAGUUUUAGUUCACUUAAUUCUCUGGUGGUGGGUGUAGUAAAUGAGUAGAAUAAGCAAUAGUACUCUAAGUAUAUCCUCCAUAACAAGGACAAAAAAAGAUUAGACUUCUUUGGAUGGAAGUCUUAGUCAUCUGUGACACUGCAGUUUUGGAUUGCAAAUUGUCAGGUGAUCUGCAAUUGCAAUAAAGAGCUGUGAUGACUUACGAAAUGGCUUUGUGCGCUCAAUGUAGAAGGCUAGGGCAUGCCUGAUGUCCAGGGAAUGGAGCAUUCGCUCUCUGUUACUGGCAUGUGGCUUAGGGAAGAACACAGGUAAAAAUAUGUGGUGGUUCACAUGAAACUGGGAUACUACCUUUGGUAGAAACGCAGGGUGAAGGCGUAGCUGCACCUUGUCUUUAUAAAAGACUGUAUGGGGGAGGCCUGGAAGUCAGUGCUGUGAGCUUGGAUACCCUUCUGGCUGAGGUUAUGGCCACCAGAGAAGCCACUUCCCAGGAAAGGUAGGACAGAGAGCAGGUUGCCGUGGGCUCGAAAGGGUGGGGUCUCAUGAGCAUGGACAGGACCGGGUUGAGGUUCCACUGGGGAUUGGGUUGUCACACCUGGGGAUAAAGCCUGUCCAAGCCCUUGAGAAACCAAGCCCACCAUGGGAUUUCCAAACAUUGACCUUCCUGCUGCCCCUGGGUGGAAUGCUGAAAUGGCAGCCAGGUGUACUUUGAUAGAUGAUAUUUGCAACCCCUGCUGCUUUGGGUACAGUAGGUAGUCCAAAACAAGGGGAAUUGAUGCUUGCUGUGGAGGGCUGCCUAUCUGCAGAGACCAGAUGGAAAACCGCUUCCACUUUGUCAGGUAUGUGGCACGAGUGGAGGGUUUCCUACUUCCCAGCAGGACAUCCUUCACUGGGUCUGAACACUGAAGCUUAAGAGGUUUCAGCCAUGCAGUUUCCACGCCGUGAGGUGGAGGGACUCCAGGCUGGGGUGUUGUAGACAGCCGUGGUCUUGUGUGAUGAGGGCCAGGCACAUGGGAAGGGUUACUGCUCUGUCCACUGAGAGGUUCAACAGUGUGAUGAACCAGUGUGGCGGGGCCACGCUGGCGCUAUGAGGAUCAAGGAAUCCCUGUCCCAGCAAGCCUUGAGGAGGACUUUGUGUAUGAGAGGGAAGGAUGGGAAUGCGUAUAGCAGGUGACUCAUCCAUGAAAGGUGUCAGUGAUGGAGCUUGGGCUGUAGUUCAGAAAGAAGAACCGCUGGCACUUCCUGUUGCUCCGUGUCGCAAACACGUCUAUGUGGGGAAAGCCCCACCUCUGGAAAGUCGAGAGCGUGAUGUCCACCCUGAGGGACCAUUCUUGACUGUGAAACAAGCAGCUGAGGCGGUCAGCUAGCUCGUUUUGCACUCCCGAAGUGAGCAAUGCAGAAGUCCCACAGCCCAACGGCUUCCUGGCAUGGGAGAGGAGCAAGCACCACUAUGUUUUUUUAUAUAGAACAUUGCUGUGGUGUUGUCCUUCUGCACCGACACACAUGCAUCCUGAAGGUGAGCCCUGAACUCUUGGCAUGCCAGACGAACCGCCCUCAGCUCCCUUACAUUGAUAUGCAGCAAUAGUUCUGGGUGGGACCAUAGGCCUUGGGUUCUGAUAUUGUCCAGAUGUGCUCCCCAACUGAGUGCUGAGGUGUCCGUGACCAGCGAUAGCGGAGGUUGGGGUUUGACUGCAGCCACCAGUGGAGAGACUCGAGAAUGCGAGGUUGGAGGGUAACUAAUCUGUCCAGUGGGUCCCUGUUGGGCCUGUGCACCUGCGCCAACCACACCUGGAGAGGCCAAAGGCGCAAUCUGGCAUACUAGACCACAUAUGUACAAGCCACCGUCUGCCCCAGCAGUUUCAUGCAAUUUCUGGUAGUCGCCGUGGGUAAUCGGCGAAGGUUCUCAAUGUCCCUGAGUGCUUGGAAGCACAGCUCAGGCAGAAACGCCCUGGCUUGCAUGGAGUCCAAGAGAGCUCCUAUGAAUUCUGUUCUCUGUGUUGGGGCUAGUGUGGAUUUAGGUAUUUUCAAUAUGAGGCCUACCAUCCUAAGGAAGGUGGCCUGAGCCAGACACACCUGCUCUGCAGCCUGUGCUUGCAACUUGGCCUUGAUGAGCCAGUCAUCCAGGUACGGGAAAACUUGUACCUGACGUUUGCGGAGAAAGGCUACCACGACUGCCAUACACUUCGUGAAUAUCUGGAGAGCUGCCGAGAGCCCAAAUGAGAGCACCCUGAACUGGUAGUGCUGGCCUCUGACCACGAAGCGAAGAAAUUGUGGGCCAGGGUAAUGGAGAUAUGAAAGUACACAUCUUUCAAGUUGAGGGCAGCGUACCAGUCCUCCAGAUCCAGGAAAGGAAUGAUGGAGGCCAGGGAGAGCAUGCAAAACUUCACUUUCUUUAUGAAUGUGUUGCAGUCUCCCAGAUCCAGGAUAGGCAAGGGCCCACCCUUGGCCUUGGUGAUGAGGAAAUAGCUGGAGUAGAACCCCUGAACUCCUGAGGAACCUCCUCUGUUGCCCCUAGAGCAAGGAGCGAUUGCACCUCCGGCAGAAGUUAUUGUUCGUGAGGAGGGAAGAGGGGUGGGAGGGAACAGAAUUGGAUAGAAUAUGCCAUGUCCACCGUGCUCAGAACCCAGUGAUCUGAUGUGAUCUGGGACCAAGCACGGUAGAAGUGGGAUAGUCAAUUCACAAAGAGGGGUAAAGAUCUGAGCUCGGUACUGGUGCUCCGUCCUCGGGUGCAUCUUCAAAAGUUUGGCUUCAGGCCAGAGGGCUGUUUCAAAGAACCCUGGCCUUGUCCUGAGGAGUACUGGCGGGCGCCUCCUAUUAUUCCGCCCCUCUCCUGGAUAAGUCUCGUCUUGGGGGCCCAGACUAGAAGUGGGACAGGGGCUGAGGCUUAAAUGGCUUUCUUUGGGGUACAGGGGUGUGGAUCCCCAAAGACUUUAGCGUCACCCACAUGUCCUUCGGACUGUGCAAGCGAGAGUCUAUAUUUUGGGCAAACAACCCCUUACGGUUAAAGGGCAGGUCCUGAAUCGUGUUCUGAACCUCUGGUGGUAUACCAAACACCUGCAGCCACGCGCUGCAUCUCAUUGUGAUGGCAGUGGCCAUAGUCCGAGCCACCGAGUCUGCCGCAUGAAACACAGCCUGGAGGGAGGUUCUUGAGACCACCCUGCCCUCCUCUAGAAGCUCAUUAAACUCCUUGCACAAGUCAGCCAGCAGCAACUCCUGAAACUUUGCUAAUGCACUCCAGGAAUCGAAAGCACAGCGACUGAGUACCUCUUGCUAGUUGGCCACUUGAAGCUGGAGUUGGCCGAAAAGGUCCAACUUCUUAGCGUCCAGUGACUUUGGAACAGGACCUGGCUGCCCCAGCAGCUCCUUGUGAUUUGCUGCGUCGACCACUAGAGUCCUCAGUGGGGAGUGGGUGAAAAGGUGUUCAUACUCUUUCUGCAGCACAUCUAACAUCUCUCUACCCCUUUAGUGGUGGGUGAUAUAGAGGCCGGGAUCUGCCAGAGCACCCUAGUAGCGUUCUGGAUCAUUUUUAUCUGGGGCAAGGCCACCUUAGAUGGACCCUCCGGGGCAAGGAUGUCCACCAUUGGGUCUGACUCCUCUGUGACCACCUCCACCUGGAGGCUUAGGGCCACCCUCCUAAGAAGGUCUUGGUGUCCCUUAGUGGCUGCCGCCGGUAGGAUGGUAGUGGUGGUGCCUGCCACCGUCUUGUCCAGGGAGGAGGAGGCCCAUGGGACCAGGUCUUCCUGACAUUCUGGUUCCCU